GCCGCCGCGGUAAUACGGAAGGUCCGGGCGUUAUCCGGAUUUAUUGGGUUUAAAGGGAGCGUAGGCCGGAGAUUAAGCGUGUUGUGAAAUGUAGUGGCUCAACCUCUGCACUGCAGCGCGAACUGGUCUUCUUGAGUACGCACAACGUGGGCGGAAUUCGUGGUGUAGCGGUGAAAUGCUUAGAUAUCACGAAGAACUCCGAUUGCGAAGGCAGCUCACGGGAGCGCAACUGACGCUGAAGCUCGAAAGUGCGGGUAUCGAACAGGAUUAGAUACCCC
rnacentral:rRNA from 1 species